rnacentral:rRNA from 1 species
UUAGGAAUCUUCCGCAAUGGACGGAAGUCUGACGGAGCGACGCCGCUUGGAGGAGGAAGCCCUUCGGGGUGUAAACUCCUGAACUGGGGACGAAAGCCCUGUGUAGGGGGAUGACGGUACCCAGGUAAUAGCGCCGGCCAACUCCGUGCCAGCAGCCGCGGUAAUACGGAGGGCGCGAGCGUUACCCGGAUUUACUGGGCGUAAAGGGCGUGUAGGCGGCCUGGGGCGUCCCAUGUGAAAGGCCACGGCUCAACCGUGGAGGAGCGUGGGAUACGCUCAGGCUAGAGGGUGGGAGAGGGUGGUGGAAUUCCCGGAGUAGCGGUGAAAUGCGCAGAUACCGGGAGGAACGCCGAUGGCGAAGGCAGCCACCUGGUCCACUUCUGACGCUGAGGCGCGAAAGCGUGGGGAGCAAACCGG